UACGUAGGUGGCGAGCGUUGUCCGGAUUUACUGGGCGUAAAGAGCGCGCAGGCGGUCGUUCAAGUCGCGUGUGAAAGCCCCCGGCUCAACUGGGGAGGGUCACGCGAUACUGAUCGACUCGAAGGCAGGAGAGGGAAGUGGAAUUCCCGGUGUAGUGGUGAAAUGCGUAGAUAUCGGGAGGAACACCAGUGGCGAAGGCGACUUCCUGGCCUGUUCUUGACGCUCAUGCACGAAAGCGUGGGGAGCAAACAGG
rnacentral:rRNA from 1 species